CUCCUCGACAGGGAAUCGAACCCCCGGUCUCCAGCGUGACAGGCGGGGAUACUUCACCACUAUACUACCGAGGA
rnacentral:tRNA from 13 species